rnacentral:rRNA from 1 species
CAGUAGCCGCGGGAAUACGGAGGGUGCAAGCGUUAUCCGGAUUUAUUGGGUUUAAAGGGUCCGUAGGCGGAUCUGUAAGUCAGUGGUGAAAUCUCACAGCUUAACUGUGAAACUGCCAUUGAUACUGCAGGUCUUGAGUAAAUUUGAAGUGGCUGGAAUAAGUAGUGUAGCGGUGAAAUGCAUAGAUAUUACUUAGAACACCAAUUGCGAAGGCAGGUCACUAAGAUUUAACUGACGCUGAUGGACGAAAGCGUGGUGAGCGAACAGGAUUAGAUACCCGGGUAGUCCCUGUCUCUUAUAC